rnacentral:rRNA from 1 species
CCUACGGGAGGCAGCAGUGGGGAAUAUUGCACAAUGGGGGAAACCCUGAUGCAGCUAUACCGUGUGUGUGAAGAAGGCCUUCGGGUUGUAAAGCACUUUCAAUGGGGAAGAACUUAAUAUUGCUAAUAUCAAUAUUAAUUGACGUUACCCAUACAAGAAGCACCGGCUAACUCCGUGCCAGCAGCCGCGGUAAU